rnacentral:lncRNA from 1 species
AACACCUGCCUGCUGCCAGCCGCCAGCCCAGCUGCUGUCACUUUGCUCUGUGCCGUAAGAGGAACCCGAACCUCUGCUCCUUCAGAGCCUGUGAGCUGCCAUGGUUUUAUUCUCAGCCUCCAUCUCUGUGUCCCACUGCUCUUGCCCCACCUUUGCGGGUGUCCCUGGAACAUCCACACUCCUUUCUGCCUGGAACCCCCACAAGACUUCAAGGAUUGCAGGAAUGGAGGUCAUGCGCUUGAGUACCUGCUCUCUCAACUGUGCAUGAUCACAGCCCAAAGAGCCACUUGUCCAGGAUGCACAGAUGGACAGGGAUGCUGGAGAUCACCUGAAUCACAUGGGACUUUGAACCAGAUAAACCUCCAGGGCUGCUGCCAAUGCUAAGAGGUGCUGCUUCCCCAGCAUCACCUGAGUCUAGACCUGCACAGUCCUAUACCCCAGCCACAAGCCACCUGUGCCUCCUGGAAUGCAGCUAGUCUGAAUCUGAGUCCUGGCUGAGAAACACCCAAGAUCCUGAAGAUUUAGCACAAGAAAAAUGUGAGUUAGCUCAAUAAUGAUGUUUGCAUUGAUUUCAUGUUGAAAUGAUAAAUAUUUCUGAUAUACUGGGUUA